rnacentral:rRNA from 1 species
GAUGGACGCUGGCGGCGUGCCUAAUACAUGCAAGUCGAGCGAACAGACGAGGAGCUUGCUCCUCUGACGUUAGCGGUGGACGGGUGAGUAACACGUGGAUAACCUACCUAUAAGACUGGGAUAACUUCGGGAAACCGGAGCUAAUACCGGAUAAUAUAUUGAACCGCAUGGUUCAAUAGUGAAAGACGGUUUUGCUGUCACUUAUAGAUGGAUCCGCGCCGCAUUAGCUAGUUGGUAAGGUAACGGCUUACCAAGGCAACGAUGCGUAGCCGACCUGAGAGGGUGAUCGGCCACACUGGAACUGAGACACGGUCCAGACUCCUACGGGAGGCAGCAGUAGGGAAUCUUCCGCAAUGGGCGAAAGCCUGACGGAGCAACGCCGCGUGAGUGAUGAAGGUCUUCGGAUCGUAAAACUCUGUUAUUAGGGAAGAACAAAUGUGUAAGUAACUAUGCACGUCUUGACGGUACCUAAUCAGAAAGCCACGGCUAACUACGUG